rnacentral:rRNA from 1 species
AGAGUUUGAUCAUGGCUCAGGACGAACGCUGGCGGCGUGCUUAACACAUGCAAGUCGAGCGGAAAGGCCCUUCGGGGUACUCGAGCGGCGAACGGGUGAGUAACACGUGAGCAAUCUGCCCCUAGCUCUGGGAUAGCUCCGGGAAACCGGAAUUAAUACCGGAUACGACCACUUUAGACAUCUUUUGUGGUGGAAAGAACUUCGGCUAGGGAUGAGCUCGCGGCCUAUCAGCUUGUUGGUGGGGUAACGGCCUACCAAGGCGACGACGGGUAGCCGGCCUGAGAGGGCGACCGGCCACACUGGGACUGAGACACGGCCCAGACUCCUACGGGAGGCAGCAGUGGGGAAUAUUGCGCAAUGGGCGAAAGCCUGACGCAGCGACGCCGCGUGCGGGAUGAAGGCCUUCGGGUUGUAAACCGCUUUCAGCAGGGACGAAGCGCAAGUGACGGUACCUGCAGAAGAAGCGCCGGCUAACUACGUGCCAGCAGCCGCGGUAACACGUAGGGCGCGAGCGUUGUCCGGAAUUAUUGGGCGUAAAGAGCUCGUAGGCGGUCUGUUGCGUCUGCUGUGAAAACUCGGGGCUUAACCCCGAGCCUGCAGUGGAUACGGGCAGACUAGAGGCAGGCAGGGGAGAAUGGAAUUCCUGGUGUAGCGGUGAAAUGCGCAGAUAUCAGGAGGAACACCGGUGGCGAAGGCGGUUCUCUGGGCCUGUACUGACGCUGAGGAGCGAAAGCGUGGGGAGCGAACAGGAUUAGAUACCCCGGUAGUCC